UCCUACGGGGCGCAGCAGUGGGGAAUAUUGCACAAUGGGGGAAACCCUGAUGCAGCGACGCCGCGUGAGUGAAGAAGUAUUUCGGUAUGUAAAGCUCUAUCAGCAGGGAAGAGAAUGACGGUACCUGAGUAAGAAGCCCCGGCUAACUACGUGUCAGCAGCCGCGGUAAUACGUAGGGGGCAAGCGUUAUCCGGAUUUACUGGGUGUAAAGGGAGCGUAGACGGCGAAGAAAGUCUGAAGUGAAAGCCCGCGGCUCAACC
rnacentral:rRNA from 1 species